rnacentral:rRNA from 1 species
GUGAGGAAUUUUCCGCAAUGGGCGAAAGCCUGACGGAGCAAUGCCGCGUGAAGUAUGAAGGCCUAUGGGUUGUAAACUUCUUUUCUUAGAGAAGAAUAUUGACGGUAUCUGAGGAAUAAGCAUCGGCUAACUCUUUGCCAUCAGCUGCGGUACGACAGAGGAUGCAAGCGUUAUCCGGAAUGAUUGGGCGUAAAGCGUCUGUAGGUGGCUUCAAAAGUCUCCUGUCAAAAAUCAGGGCUUAACCCUGGGCCGGCAGGAAAAACUCUGAGGAUAGAGUUUGGUAGGGGCAGAGUGAAGUACAGGUGGAACGGUGAAAUGCAUAGAGAUCGGGAAGAAAACCAAAGGCGAAAGCACUCUGCUGGACCACAACGGACACUGAGAGACGAAAGAGAGGGGAGCAAAAGGGAUUAGAAACCCGGGUAGUCC